CAAAGAAAUUUCAAAUAAACAAUAGGAAUUCUUAAAGAAAUAUUAGAAGGAUCACAAAUAUCACUCAAAUACAUCUCAAUUCAAUCUCAAUUUAAUUCUAGUUAAAAUCCUAUUGAACUUCAUUCAAACUUUAGGCCAAAACUAAUUGAAUCUUAAAUCCUAAUAAAAUCCUAAAUCCUAAAUCAAACCCUAAAAAAACCCUAAAAUAAACCCCAACCAAAUCCUAAACCAAAUCCUAAUCCUAAAUCAAACCCUAACCAAAUCCUAAAUCUUAAAUAAAAUCCUAAUCAAAUCCUAAACCAAAUCCUAAAUCCUAAACUAAAUCCUAACCAAAUCCUAAAUCCUAAAUAUAUCCUAAAUUCCAAAUACUAAAUCAAAUCCUAAAUCCUAAAUUAAACC
rnacentral:lncRNA from 1 species